rnacentral:rRNA from 1 species
CCUACGGGAGGCUGCAGUGGGGAAUAUUGGACAAUGGGGGCAACCCUGAUCCAGCCAUGCCGCGUGUGUGAAGAAGGCCCUCGGGUUGUAAAGCACUUUCAGUGAGGAAGAACGCCUGGUGGUUAAUACCCAUCAGGAAAGACAUCACUCACAGAAGAAGCACCGGCUAACUCCGUGCCAGCAGCCGCGGUAAUACGGAGGGUGCGAGCGUUAAUCGGAAUUACUGGGCGUAAAGCGCGCGUAGGUGGCUUGAUAAGCCGGUUGUGAAAGCCCCGGGCUCAACCUGGGAACGGCAUCCGGAACUGUCAAGCUAGAGUGCAGGAGAGGAAGGUAGAAUUCCCGGUGUAGCGGUGAAAUGCGUAGAGAUCGGGAGGAAUACCGGUGGCGAAGGCGGCCUUCUGGACUGACACUGACACUGAGGUGCGAAAGCGUGGGUAGCAAACAGGAUUAGAUACCCUGGUAGUC